rnacentral:rRNA from 1 species
UACGAAGGGGGCUAGCGUUGCUCGGAAUCACUGGGCGUAAAGCGUGUGUAGGCGGUCCACUAAGUCGGGUGUGAAAGCCCUGGGCUCAACCCAGGAAGUGCACUCGAAACUGGCGGGCUAGAGUAUCGGAGAGGUUGGUGGAAUUCUCGGUGUAGAGGUGAAAUUCGUAGAUAUCGAGAGGAACACCGGUGGCGAAGGCGGCCAACUGGACGAAUACUGAGGCUGAGACACGAAAGCGUGGGGAGCAAACAGG